GCUGGGUGUGGUGGUGCACACCUGUAAUCCCAGCACUUUGGGAGGCUGAGGUGGGGGGUUCACUUGAGACUAGGUGUUCGAGACCACCCUGGCCAACAUGGUGAAAUCCCAUCUCUA
ensembl:misc_RNA Metazoa_SRP Metazoan signal recognition particle RNA